CUACGGGGGGCACCAGUCGGGAAUAUUGGACAAUGGGGGAAACCCUGAUCCAGCCAUGCCGCGUGUGUGAAGAAGGCCCUAGGGUUGUAAAGCACUUUUAGUAGUGAGGAAGGCUCAGUAGUUAAUACCUACUGGGAUUGACGUUAGCUACAGAAAAAGCACCGGCUAAUUUCGUGCCAGCAGCCGCGGUAAUACGAAAGGUGCAAGCGUUAAUCGGAAUUACUGGGCGUAAAGCGCGCGUAGGCGGCUUGGUAAGUUGGAUGUGAAAGCCCCGGGCUCAACCUGGGAACUGCAUCCAAACUGCCUAGCUAGAGUAUGGUAGAGGAUGGCGGAAUUGCCUGUGUAACGGUGAAAUGCGUAGAUAUAGGAAGGAACAUCAGUGGCGAAGGCGGCCAUCUGGACCAAUACUGACGCUGAGGUGCGAAAGCGUGGGGAGCAAACAGGAUUAGAUACCCGUGUAGUC
rnacentral:rRNA from 1 species